rnacentral:rRNA from 1 species
CCUACGGGUGGCAGCAGUCGAGAAUCAUUCACAAUGGGGGAAACCCUGAUGGUGCGACGCCGCGUGGGGGAAUGAAGGUCUUCGGAUUGUAAACCCCUGUCAUGUGGGAGCAAAUUAAAAAGAUAGUACCACAAGAGGAAGAGACGGCUAACUCUGUGCCAGCAGCCGCGGUAAUACAGAGGUCUCAAGCGUUGUUCGGAAUCACUGGGCGGAAAGCGUGCGGAGGCUGUGUCGUAAGGCCUGUGGGAAAGGCGCGGGGUCAACCCGCGGAGGGCAGAUGCUACUGGGAGACUAGAGUAAUGGAGGGGGAAGCAGAAUUCUCGGUGUAGCAGUGAAAUGCGUAGAUAUCGAGAGGAACCCUCGUGGCGAAGGCGGGUUCCUGGACAGUAACUGACGCUGAGGCACGAAGGCCAGGGGAGCGAAAGGGAUUAGAUACCCUAGUAGUC